rnacentral:sRNA from 1 species
CUAUCACUAGUUGCUCCAUUCCCUGUCUCAAGGUAUAACUAUCCUGCUCUAAUUCUUCCAGCUCAUUUAUAACU